AUAAACGCUGGCGGCGUGCAUGAGACAUGCAAGUCGAACGAAGGAUCGGGCCUGCUCGAUCCUUAGUGGCGGACGGCUGAGUAACGCGUAGGUGACCUACCCCGAAGUGGGGAAUAACUGCCCGAAAGGGUGGCUAAUACCGCAUGUGGUCGCACGUUCAUUCGUGCGAGUAAAGCCGCAAGGCGCUUCGGGAGGGGCCUGCGUCCGAUUAGCUCGUUGGUGGGGUAAUGGCUUACCAAGGCGACGAUCGGUAGGUGGUCUGAGAGGACGAUCACCCAGACUGGGACUGAGACACGGCCCAGACUCCUACGGGAGGCAGCAGUCGGGAAUUUUGCUCAAUGGGGGAAACCCUGAAGCAGCAACGCCGCGUGAGGGAUGAAGGCCUUCGGGUUGUAAACCUCUUUUGUCAGGGACGAUGAUGACGGUACCUGGCGAAUAAGCCACGGCUAACUACGCG
rnacentral:rRNA from 1 species